rnacentral:rRNA from 1 species
UACGUAGGGGUCAAGCGUUGUCCGGAAUCAUUGGGCGUAAAGCGCGUGUAGGCGGUCCGAUAAGUCGGCUGUGAAAGUCCAGGGCUCAACCCUGGGAUGCCGGUCGAUACUGUCGGACUAGAGUUCGGAAGAGGCGAGUGGAAUUCCCGGUGUAGCGGUGAAAUGCGCAGAUAUCGGGAGGAACACCAAUGGCGAAGGCAGCUCGCUGGGACGUUACUGACGCUGAGACGCGAAAGCGUGGGGAGCAAACAGG